AGUGAACGCUGGCGGUAGGCCUAACACAUGCAAGUCGAACGGCAGCACAGGAGAGCUUGCUCUCUGGGUGGCGAGUGGCGGACGGGUGAGGAAUACAUCGGAAUCUACUCUGUCGUGGGGGAUAACGUAGGGAAACUUACGCUAAUACCGCAUACGACCUACGGGUGAAAGCAGGGGACCUUCGGGCCUUGCGCGAUUGAAUGAGCCGAUGUCGGAAUAGCUAGUUGGCGGGGUAAAGGCCCACCAAGGCGACGAUCCGUAGCUGGGCUGAGAGGAUGAUCAGCCACACUGGAACUGAGACACGGUCCAGACUCCUACGGGAGGCAGCAGUGGGGAAUAUUGGACAAUGGGCGCAAGCCUGAUCCAGCCAUACCGCGUGGGUGAAGAAGGCCUUCGGGUUGUAAAGCCCUUUUGUUGGGAAAGAAAUCCAGCUGGCUAAUACCCGGUUGGGAUGACGGUACCCAAAGAAUAAGCACCGGCUAACUUCGUGCCAGCCGCCGCGGUAA
rnacentral:rRNA from 1 species